GUCCACUGAAUUGUAUACCUUAAAAGGGUGAAUUUUAUCUCAAUAAAGCUGUUAUUAAAGCCAAUUGGGAAAAAAAAGAAUCAGUAUUUAAAUGAACUGGAAGUCAGUGGGAUGCGGCAGAGACAAAAGCGGACACAGGCAAGGCCAUCAGGAGAACAGGAAUGGAGGAGAGGGCACCAUCUUAUAAAUUUCUGUGGCAAUGGAGAAGGCAGGCAGGAAUGAGAAUUUGUCACAGCUGGGAGGAAAGAAUGUAAGAACAAAAUCUCAUUAAGAUAUGAGGCAAAAGGACUCACUCCCAAGGAGACUACAGUGAAAAUAAUAUCAUCAUAUUUAAAAAAUCACUCUUGGGAUUAGCAUUGGAUAUUUUAUUAGUGGAAGAAGGUGAGAAGGCCCUUGCUGCUGGUUUCUGGAGUACACUUUGAGGAAGGAGCAAGGCUCUGAAGGGACGUGGCAGGCUCUUCUUUGGCAUGCCCUGGACCCUACUAAGACAGAAGCACGAAUUGGAGCAUCCCAGUACAGUAGAGAAGUAGCUCCUAACUAAUAAAGGAACAGAAGAUGGAUCCCUCAACAAUUCCCUUCCAGCUACAUCCUGUCCACAAACAUGUUAAUGAAAUUUGCAGAUGACCCCAAAAGAGGAUAUGCUGCAAACACCAGGAAAGCCAAAGAAAUUAUGUAAAUCAUUAGCAAUAUGGCAAAGAGAAUGACACUUAACUUGGAAAAAUUUCAAGUAGAGGCAUCUGGGGAGAAGUAAUUGGAAAGAAAAUUUUUCAUGGGGAGGGCAACACCUGGAAAAUAGUAAUAACUAUAAUAGGCCCAAGGGUGAUGCUAAAUGGCAAAUUAGAUACAUGUCUGUUGUAUAAUAUUGUGAGAAAAAUAUGACACUGGCCUCUGGUUACAAAGCAGGGAGAUAAUGGUUCUUUCUGUUUGGCCCUAGUGAGAUAGCACCUGGGAUGCUGUUUUUGGUUUUGGACACUUCAUUAGUGGAAAAUUGUUGGUUAACAUUUGGGAAUUUGGAGGCAAGAAACAGAAACAAUUAAAAGCAUUUAUUUGACACAACACAACCAUUCAAAACCAACAUCACAGAGGGAAAGAAGAAUAAUGAAACUCUAUACUUAGAUUGUGUUGCUGGGAAAUCAAAGAAAUCAAAGGUCUUUUCAUUGUAAUUUCAGCAUGGACCCAUUGUUAAAGCAGGGAGGGACUUUUCAGGUGAAUUUUGAUGAUGUCUAAGUUCCUGGGCUAUGCUAAAAUUCUGUUAGCUGGGCAUGUUGCUCUUGGACUAUGCAUUUCACAGAGCUCUAGAAAGGGUCCUCUUAAAACAUAGAUCUAAUAUGAUUUCCCUGAUUAAAGCCUUCCAGUGGAUUCCCAUGGCAUUUAGAAUAAACCUAACCUUGUAACAGGGCCCACAUUGUUAUGUUGAAUCUGGCCUUUGCCUGGAUCUUGACUUUUACCACUCUCCUCUGAGCUCACCAAUCUUUAGCCAUACUGGCCUCCUUGCUGUUUGUAGAGCUCUCCAAGAUAGUAACAGGCUCAUGGUCUUUGCAUUUGCUGUUCAUUCCUCCAGCUUCUUGCAUUACUGAUUCCUUCUCAUAUUUCCUCCUUUCAUAAACACGUCAUGUGAAGUCUCCAUCCCUAGGUCUCCUGGGUGGCUCUGUCUGUUAAGUGUCUGCCUUCAGAUCAGGUUAUGAUCCCAGAGUCCUGG